GCCACCACAGGCACCACCAGGACACAGAGUGCAAACAGGAACCACACUUGCUGCUGCCUCUCAGGACACAGGACCUGGAGCUGUGCUUAUUCAGGUGCCUGGCGGGGAGGAGGUACUCGGUCUGCGCACAGAAGCUGUAUGUUUGGCCUGCUGGUUGUCCAGCAGCUCCUCAGAAACCAGAAGCAGCCUUAAGGGAGUGCCUGUCGGGGAGGAUGUGCCCCACUCGACUGUUCGAGUUUCCUAGAAACUCAAAUCCAGAAAAAUAAGGCUACCGCCACGCGCCGACUGACAACCUACGCAGUAAUCCUGCCCCAGCAGCAGGACCUGACGAGUGGCUUCCGGGUGACACUCGGUGACAGCUGCAGGGACUGAAGUCGGUUCUAGGACACGGGAGCCCUAAGCUACCCGCAACAAUAAAGCCAUCUGUCUGACCAACCGAACUAGAGCCAAGACACACACGGGAGAUUCUGAACAGAGAAGUCUGACAACAGGAAAAACGUAAACCACACACUUCUAAACUCCUAGACAUUUUAAACAGUGUUAGAAAAAGAAACUUAAGUGAAGGAAAACUACAGACAAACCGACAAUCGACAGAAGACACGCCACUAAUGUCAGAGCUUCAUGUGGAUACGCUCAGGCAAGAAACUCAGUGAUAUACCAAACUCUUGGGAAAACACUGCAAUUUGGCACCUGGGCUAAAAAACCGAAAUGAUUACAGGAAAUGCCAUCUAUUUGCGUCUGUGACGUAAGUCAUGAACACUAAUGAUGUCUAUCAAACACAACAACUUUUGGAGACAUCUGAUCAUGUGCACAGUACUGUGCACAAUUUAUGAAAA